rnacentral:tRNA from 1 species
GGCCCUAUCGUCUAUCGGCUAGGACGUGACCUUCUCAAGGUCAAGAGCGGGGUUCGAUUCCCCGUAGGGUCA